rnacentral:rRNA from 1 species
CCUACGGGUGGCUGCAGUGGGGAAUAUUGGACAAUGGGCGAAAGCCUGAUCCAGCCAUGCCGCGUGUGUGAAGAAGGUCUUAGGAUUGUAAAGCACUUUAAGUUGGGAGGAAGGGUUGUAGAUUAAUACUCUGCAAUUUUGACGUUACCGACAGAAUAAGCACCGGCUAACUCUGUGCCAGCAGCCGCGGUAAUACAGAAGGUGCAAGCGUUAAUCGGGAGUACGUGGCGUGUAGCGCGCGUAGGUGGUUCCCCGGGCUCAACCUGGGAACUGCAUCCAAAACUGGCAAGCUAGAGUAUGGUAGAGGGUGGUGGAAUUUCCUGUGGAGCGGUGAAAUGCGUAGAUAUAGGAAGGAACACCAGUGGCGAAGGCGACCACCUGGACUGAUACUGACACUGAGGUGCGAAAGCGUGGGGAGCAAACAGGAUUAGAUACCCGUGUAGUC